rnacentral:rRNA from 1 species
GAUGAACGCUAGCGGCAGGCUUAACACAUGCAAGUCGAGGGGUAGAGGUUGCUUGCAACCUUGAGACCGGCGCACGGGUGCGUAACGCGUAUGCAACCUACCUUUUACAGAGGGAUAGCCCAGAGAAAUUUGGAUUAAUACCUCAUAGUAUAUAACCUUCGCAUGUUGGUUAUAUUAAAGUUCCAACGGUAAAAGAUGGGCAUGCGUCCUAUUAGCUAGAUGGUAAGGUAACGGCUUACCAUGGCAAAGAUAGGUAGGGGUCCUGAGAGGGAGGUCCCCCACACUGGUACUGAGACACGGACCAGACUCCUACGGGAGGCAGCAGUGAGGAAUAUUGGACAAUGGGCGCAAGCCUGAUCCAGCCAUGCCGCGUGCAGGAAGAAGCAUCUAUGGUGUGUAAACUGCUUUUGUACAGGAAGAAACACCCCGACGUGUCGGGGCUUGACGGUACUGUAAGAAUAAGGAUCGGCUAACUCCGUGCCAGCCGCCGCAGUAAGAC